GGGACCUCUGUGUGUGUGUGUGUGUGUGUGUGUGUGUGUGUGUGUGUGUGCGCGCGCGCGCUCCAGGCAGCACGCCGCUCGCAGGGCCC
rnacentral:miRNA from 1 species